UUUUGCUUGUGGAUUAUGAUCAACGAUCGCAUUGCCAACCGCAUGUAACAGGUGCGUUUUACCUAAACCGGUACCACCGUA
rnacentral:antisense_RNA from 1 species